GUGGAUUAGAUACCCUGGUAGUCCUAGCAGUAAACGGUGCACGCUUGGUGUGAGGGGAAUCGACCCCCCUUGUGCCGGAGCUAACGCGUUAAGCGUGCCGCCUGGGAAGUACGGUCGCAAGACUAAAACUCAAAGAAAUUGACGGGGACCCGCACAAGCGGUGGAGUAUGUGGCUUAAUUCGAUGCAACGCGAAGAACCUUACCUAGGCUUGACAUGCAUCUCUAAGCGCGUGAAAGCGCGUGACCCUUCGGGGGAUUUGCACAGGUGCUGCACGGUCGUCGCCAACU
rnacentral:rRNA from 1 species